UACGUAGGGUGCAAGCGUUGUCCGGAAUUAUUGGGCGUAAAGAGCUCGUAGGCGGUCUGUCGCGUCGGAUGUGAAAACCCAGGGCUCAACCCUGGGCCUGCAUUCGAUACGGGCAGACUAGAGUUCGGUAGGGGAGACUGGAAUUCCUGGUGUAGCGGUGAAAUGCGCAGAUAUCAGGAGGAACACCGGUGGCGAAGGCGGGUCUCUGGGCCGAAACUGACGCUGAGGAGCGAAAGCGUGGGGAGCAAACAGG
rnacentral:rRNA from 2 species